rnacentral:lncRNA from 1 species
GUCUGACACGGGGGAUUGGUCCUAGCCCCUAAGGGAGUGCUGGGACAACCCUACCUCCCUUGAAGGCUGCAGUUAUCAAGGCUGUGCUGAAAGUAGGCUGCAGCGUCUGAGCAGAGAGGGUCUUCUAGUUUUCCCUUACCUGAAACUCAAAAAAAGAGGCCAACUUGAUGGCCCCUGCUAGGAGCCCUCCUCUCAGGUUACCCCAGGAGGUGAGGUGUGUCUUGGAAUGUCCUCUCCAUCUCUUGGAUAUAAUAGGUGUUCAGUAAGUGAUUGUUGAGUUAUCUGAAUUGUUCUACUUUUAUACAAAGAAGGCGUGAUGCACAAAUUUUGCAUUUUUGAAAGUGAUUUCUAGUCUUUUUUUCUGGAAAUGUUAUUCUUAGAAUUUUCCUACACCUUUUGGAAAUUCUAGUCCUUUUUUUCCCUGUCCCCUGCCCCCAGCUCUUUCCUCCAUACCUCUCUCCCUCCCUAAAAGUGGUUUACAGCAUAUAUAAUAGUUAUGAACUAAAUUGG